UUUUCCUCCCCGAUGGAAUCUUCCAAGGGCGCCGGAGGGGGUGGAACUACCGGUGUCUCCUUCUCGACGCCCUCCAUCACUUCCGCCAGACCUUUCGCCGCCGGUGUAGUGCGACCGCUGCGUCCGCGGGUGCUCUUGCCGCUGGACAGACGACCGGUUUCCCGAUGCUCCGGCAACGGCGGUUCGGUGGCAUCCGAACGGGACGGCUGCAGAUAGCGCCGGCCCAGUUGACCGGAAAUACUACCGGCACGCUCCGCCACGCCGGUCUUGCGUUUGCGGGUUUCCGGUUUGCUCUCCUGGUCGGCGGCCACCGUGGUGCGCUCCGGACCGGCACCGAAGAGGGCUUCGUUCUGGGCACGCAGGCUGUGGAUGAGGCUCUGUUGGCCCUUUUGUUUCUAUCGAUGCAAAGGAACAGUUAUCCAACCAGGAGCGUAUGGUCUGCUUGGCCACUUCCUCUUCAAUUUGGUACUCAAGUUCCUCCCGUGCCAAUAAUUCUUCAAACUGCAGACUCUUGCGAAUAUCAACGGACCGAUACGACAGCAUGCUGUAAGACGUUUCUCAGCCCAGCCCAUCGUCCUGCUACGGUAACAGAUUGUUCAACAAGCUAUCGGACCGGCUGGCUAGCUGGCGCGGACGACGGGGAUCGGAGGAGGAAAUGUAACUGCAUUUCGAGUGGCUCAUAAUCAUGCUCGCCUACUUGAGAACAUCGUGGAACGUCACGUCGCCGCCAUUGUGCAGGCGCUCCAUUUCGUGGCACAUGUGCUUCAGGUACAGCCGCUCUUUGUCCAAGUCCACUUCCAAGCGGUCCUACGUAGACAAGAGAUUACAUGAUAUUUUCACACUAUGUGCACCGAAAAAUUACCGGUAUUACACGCGUCGUAAGUUCGUAACACAUAUAAUACAAACAAAUUUUUUAAAAAAGUACACUUUCAAAACAUUUUUUUUGCAUGUGCGUAAUUAUUUGGAAAACAUGUUAUAUAUUUUGCUUCACAAAUUUGAGUGUAAAUUUGUAAUCGAUAUUGUUGUACCGUAAUAUGCGCUGAUGUACAUUUUUACAGUCUUGAAAAUAUUACGCUUAUGUACAAGCACAUACCUUCAACAGCCUC